rnacentral:rRNA from 1 species
CACGUAGGGUGCGAGCGUUGACCGGAAUUAUUGGGCGUAAAGAGCUCGUAGGCGGUGUGUCACGUCGGCCGUGAAAACCUGCAGCUUAACUGUGGGCUUGCGGUCGAUACGGGCAUCACUGGAGUUCGGCAGGGGAGACUGGAAUUCCUGGUGUAGCGGUGAAAUGCGCAGAUAUCAGGAGGAACACCGGUGGCGAAGGCGGGUCUCUGGGCCGAUACUGACGCUGAGGAGCGAAAGCGUGGGGAGCGAACAGG